rnacentral:rRNA from 1 species
GACGAACGCUGGCGGCGUGCUUAACACAUGCAAGUCGAACGAUGAAGCCGGAGCUUGCUCUGGUGAAUUAGUGGCGAACGGGUGAGUAACACGUGAGUAACCUGCCCUUGACUCUGGGAUAACUGCGGGAAACUGUAGCUAAUACCGGAUACGACCCUCGGAGGCAUCUCCUGGGGGUGGGAAGAAUUUCGGUCAAGGAUGGACUCGCGGCCUAUCAGCUAGUUAGUGAGGUAAAGGCUAACCAAGGCGACGACGGGUAGCCGGCCUGAGAGGGUGACCGGCCACACUGGGACUGAGACACGGCCCAGACUCCUACGGGAGGCAGCAGUGGGGAAUAUUGCACAAUGGGCGCAAGCCUGAUGCAGCAACGCCGCGUGAGGGAUGACGGCCUUCGGGUUGUAAACCUCUUUUAGCAGGGAAGAAGCGAAAGUGACGGUACCUGCAGAAAAAGCACCGGCUAACUACGUGCCAGCAGCCGCCGUAA